CCGGGCCGAGGGGCGCCCGGCGCGGCGGCGGAGCGGUACCUGCCAGCGGCCGUAGCUGAGCAGGAGCAGCGCCAGCGGGAUGGCGGUGCCCGACAUGGCGUGCGUGGAGGGCAUGCUGUACUCGGAGUUGUAGAAGACCUCCAGCUUCACCACGGGCGGCGAGGCGGGCCGCGGCCAGCGGAUGACAUCCUUGGUGCACUGCCCCAGGUACAUCACGCACACCCAGACGUGGAUCAGCCGCCGGCCCAGCCAGGCGUCCAGGUUCCAGAUGCAGAAGGGGAAGAAGAGGAUGUAGAAGAGCUCGUUGCCCAGCUCCGUGCCCAGGCUGAAGAGGGCCAGGCACAAACCAUCUACCCUUAAACACAGAAGAAACUGAAAUCUGAUAAUUAACUUCAUGCUGAAUUCUGGAAUGAGACCUGAAUAACUGUACCAGGAAAAGAAAAAUUACAGUGAUUACAAAGGAUAUAGUGAAACUUGUCGGUAUGGUGUGUACUAGUUAAUCCUCUUAAAAAGCAGGAAGUGUUUGUGUGUUUAGUUGCAACUUGUUUACUUUGAACUAUUAGCAUGAAAAUUACAUGACAUCAAAACUGAAAUAGCUUUUGAAUUAUUCUUGCUUGUUUAAAACAAACAAAUGUUGCAGUGAGCACUUGAACAGGGCACCCUAAAACUGAGCUGUUCCAGAAAAUGUGCUUUGUUUUACUGUCUGCUAAAGAUGGCCCCAAAGCGAUCCUGAAUACAGCCCAGCUUACCAUACAAGGGCCAUCUGAGCAUGACACCCGGAACACAUGCAUUCUCAAGGAUGCCUGGCAAAUGAGCGUACUCCCCGUCACAUUCCCACAGGCUGUAAUUAUUUGGCGGCACAGCUGUGGAAAUCCAUGGCAAAUGAGGUGCAGAAUGCAUCGUGCUUACAGCUACUGUUGUGCUCACUCUGCCAAAGAGGUAGGAGCAGAAUCAGUGGUUCAUUUAUAAAGCAGAGCAUCUUGCUUGGAUAUCCAUUUGGAUAACCACUGGUUACUGAGUGUAUUUAAGGUACUGCUUCUGGCCUGUAAAGCUUUAAAUAGUUGGAGUUUAUCUGAGUCAGCAGCAGCCAGUUGGCUUUCUCCCCUAAAAUAAUAGAGGGAGCAGGUGGCAGGGCACUUUCCAGGGCUGUGGAACUUGUUUUCUGUCAUAGUCUGAAAUAGCUUGAAUUUCCUAUCUUCCUGUGCAAAAGACAUCUGCGAGAUAGUGCUUUUUUUAAGAGUAUUAAAUCUGUUUCCCAGCAUGAUGAAGGAUGGAAAAGAGUACUUGUAGAGGCCUGAAUGGCCAGUUUCCUGUAGAAAUGAUUAUUCUAAUGCUCCUAUAUAAAUAAAUAUAUGCUAAGUAUACCAUUUUUUUAAAGAAUUUUGGUGAGUUGAAUACCCAGAUUUGAGAAGGCAAGAGUUUAUUUUAUUAUACUAUUUUUUAUUAUAUGAAAAAUACUUGGGCAAGGGAGAAAUGUGUAUUAUUUCCAAUUAAUAUAUAUUACCAUAAGCAAAAAAAAAAGUGCUUUAACUUGUUCUUAAAUAUGAGCUAUUAUGAUAACUCAGUGAACGAGCACUGGGGAUGUACCACUGUUACAUCAAAGCAGAGGAAGAAAGAACAUACUUAGGGGUUUUCUGCUUACUAGUGCUAUACUUGGUCAUUGCUGAAUUCUGUACAGAACUUCAUUAAGCAAUUUGAGGUAUUAAAAUUCAGCUUAUCUCUCUGCAAGUUACCACUCAUGAAUUCCAGUGAUAGCUUAUUCAAUAGAACUAAAGGAGUUCAACUUUCUUCAGUAAAAAUAGAUUUAAUGAACCACUGUAGCACUUUGCUUAGAUAAGAUUUAUCAAGUAUGUUAUUCUUCAAGACAAAAAAAAAAAAAAGAUUGUGUAGUUCAUGUAGUUUUGGAAAAAUAAGGCUUGGUUCUUGUCUAUUUCUUGCUGGAAUUGGGAUUGCUAUGCUAUGAACUUGGUACCAACUGCAAUAAAAAAUGAGUUCAAUGACCUGAUACAA